GCAAUUCCGGCUCCGCUCGGCCUCCGGGAAAGCCGUCACAGCUGCAAUCGGCAGGGAAGCCUUGGCGCGGAAUGGAAGAACCGGAGAAGACGUUGGGUGAGGAUCCAGAACUCCCCGCAAAUGCAGACCCUGAAGAGACAAUCCAAAGCCUGCGGGAGCAGUUGGCGGCUGCAUUGGCCGAGGUAGAGACGGUUCGAACCGUGGCCACCGUGAGCGAAGGCACGAAACACGAGGCUGUGGAGGCUGUCCAGCGCCAGUGGCAGGAGGAGGUGGCCUCUCUUCAGGCCAUCUUAAAAGACACCAUCUCCAGCUAUGAGGCUCGCCUCUCAGCAUUGGAGCGUAGCAGCCGGGAGAAUGCUUGGAGCCGCCUGUUGCCAAGAUCCAACCCCCUGGAUUCCUUGGAGAAGCAGAUGGAAAAGGCCCAAGAGGACACUCAGCGGCUCCGGGCCAUUGUGCUUCCAAUGGAGCAGGAAAUUGCGGAGCUAAAAGCAAAGCUAGCCCAUGCUGAAGGACUGGUUCAGGAGCUUCAGGGUGAGCAGCAUUCCUUACGUAGCUCAUCUGAAUCUCUGCUUGCUGAUGCUGAUGCUGCACCCUCUGAUGCAACUGGAGAUGACCAUGUUACCUUGGAGGAAGGAGGAGUGGCUGAGAAAUUUGCACGUAGCCUUGAUAGUGUCUCUAUCGCCUCUUUUUCUUCCUUGGCACCGAGCCCAGGGCCUCUAGUUCGACGCAGGCGUGCCCCCAGCCCUGAGACUACAUCAAUCGCUUCCUCCACUGGGACCCUGGUGCCAGAGACCAUCUAUCUGCCACCAGUUGGGUACCAACUGGUGCCUGCGGCAGAAUGGACACAACUGCAUGAGCAGGUGCAGCAGCAACGUGAGGCUUUGGAAGCAGCAAGACGGGAAAAGACCAGCGUGGAGGAGGCCCUGAGACGUAGCAAUGAUGAAUGUAGCAAGCAGGUUCAGGUUCUUUUAACUCAGGUCCAAAGCUCAGAGCAUCUUCUCCAAGCUCUCCAAACCACGGUGAGCGAAACUCAACGCCAGACUCAGGAGCAGAUGGCUGAUCUGGCUGCAUCUCACAAGCGCCUGAGCUAUGAAGUGCAGCGUCUCAGUGCAGAGAAUGAAGGACUACGUGGUGCUUGUUCUCAGGAUCCCUGCCCGACUAAGGAUGAUGUUAGCAGUAACUUGCCUAGUACUGUUCCGGAGCUUCAGGCUUUGGUGCAUCAGUUGAGGCAAGAGUCUGCUUCCCAGCUCCGGGCUGCAGAGCAUCAGGCUGAGCGCCUGCGAAUCGAGAUUGUGUCCCUGAGAGAGCGGUUGGAUGAAGAAGCAGCAUCUCAGUCAAGACUGCAGGGGGCACUUGAGAAAGAGCAAGAGGACAGAGAGCUUUUGCAGGCCUCCCUGAAUAGUAUCCAGAGUGAGAUGGAGAGACUGCAGCAAAGCCAGGAAGGGACAGAUAGAACCCAGGACAAGAGCAAUGCUGUGAUGUGAUGCUUGUAACUUACUGUGGUGGGAGUUAGAAAGAUGGGGAUGGAUUGGACUUUCUUGCUGUGGCUGAGGAGGGCAUGUGCUGCUCUUUCUAGAUAUGUGUUUUUGGUAGAGAUUAAUAAAGUUCCUUGGAGGCACAGACUGAUGUUCCCUCUCUGGGAGAAUGCAGCAACCUUCAGGAGAGGUCAGAAGCUUAGACUGAGAAUGGGGAGGCUUGGCCUCUUUCCUCCCCACCCCAGCACUGUGGGAAUCUCAGGGAAACUCUGGUCCGCCAGGCACCAAAUGGGGUCAUCUCUGUCCUGCAGGAGCCUCUACAGGCCCAUCUACUCUGCUUGAGUUAGGAGAGCAAUAAACUCUGGAGGUAGGAUAACUGGACUCUCCCAUUCCUCCUUCUUUUCUGUAUACUGACUGACACUGGAGCUUCCAGAGCACAAUAAAGGACAUUUUUGUACUUUC